GCCCUGUUGGCGAAACGGCAAACGCGACCGGCUUAGACCCGGGAAUUUGGGGGUUCGAAUCCCUCACAGGGUACCA
rnacentral:tRNA from 1 species